rnacentral:rRNA from 1 species
UACGGAGGGUGCGAGCGUUAAUCGGAAUUACUGGGCGUAAAGCGCACGCAGGCGGUUUGUUAAGCUAGAUGUGAAAGCCCCGGGCUCAACCUGGGAUGGUCAUUUAGAACUGGCAGACUAGAGUCUUGGAGAGGGGAGUGGAAUUCCAGGUGUAGCGGUGAAAUGCGUAGAUAUCUGGAGGAACAUCAGUGGCGAAGGCGACUCCCUGGCCAAAGGCUGACGCUCAUGUGCGAAAGUGUGGGUAGCGAACAGG